AUGAACGCUGGCGGCGUGCCUAAUCCAUGCAAGUCGCGCGAACAGACGAGGAGCUUGCUCCUCUGACGUUAGCGGCGGACGGGUGAGUAACACGUGGAUAACCUACCUAUAAGACUGGGAUAACUUCGGGAAACCGGAGCUAAUACCGGAUAAUAUAUUGAACCGCAUGGUUCAAUAGUGAAAGACGGUUUUGCUGUCACUUAUAGAUGGAUCCGCGCCGCAUUAGCUAGUUGGUAAGGUAACGGCUUACCAAGGCGACGAUGCGUAGCCGACCUGAGAGGGUGAUCGGCCACACUGGAACUGAGACACGGUCCAGACUCCUACGGGAGGCAGCAGUAGGGAAUCUUCCGCAAUGGGCGAAAGCUUGACGGAGCAACGCCGCGUGAGUGAUGAAGGUCUUCGGAUCGUAAAACUCUGUUAUUAGGGAAGAACAAAUGUGUAAGUAACUAUGCACGUCUUGACGGUACCUAAUCAGAAAGCCACGGCUAACUACGUG
rnacentral:rRNA from 1 species